rnacentral:misc_RNA from 1 species
CUCGCACUGACAAUGAAUGGGCCAAAUAGUUGAGGUAAAACAGUAAAAUCACAUCUUUCAACUAAUAAAGAUAAAAAAGAAAAAUAGUCAAGAUGGUGAUCAUGUAUAGUCAAUUUGUACGGUCAAGUCCUGUAUUCCUAAUUCAUGGUAUAGGUCAUGCACAUAUUGCAAAACAGGCCAAUCGUCAACUCCCUCCUUUACCUGCAAUGCAAUUGAUCCAAUAACAUGACCAGGCACAAGUUCCCAGAAACGAGCUUGAGAUACUUCUGAAACGUCUUCACGAGAUGAAACCUGCCUCCAGCAUUUGCUCCAGGCUGAAGAUGGGAUCCUUGGUGGAGCCAUUUGGAGCAAGAUGCCACCAGUAGUUCUAAAAAGUGGCAUGACGAGGAAAAAGACAGUGGCAGAAACCAGUCCCAAACAUAAGACUUCGGCAUUCUUUACUCCAAGUGUUAACAACCAGGAAGCCAGGAUGAGGCCUGCGAAUGGAAUCAGCUAGCACAUGCAAGCAGACAGAG